GAAAUGCGAUAAGUGAUGUGAAUAGCAGAAUUCAGUGAAUCAUCGAAGCUUUGAACGCACCUAGCGCCUUUCUGUAUUCCGAAAGGCGUGCCUCUUUGAGUGUCAUGAAAUCUCAAUCCCCCCGGGUUUUCUGAACCCGAGGUGGACUUGGACAUGCGUGUCUGCCGUCUCGUACGGCUCGCCUUAAAUGACUCAGUGGGAUCUUCAGCAUCCGUGGCAGACGUAAUAAGUUUCGUCUCGUCCCUUGCUAUGAGGACCGCUCAUAAGCUGCCAUCGCGCACCACUUUUGACUCUGACCUCAAAUCAGGUAGGACUACCCGCUUAACUUAA
rnacentral:misc_RNA from 1 species